UACGGGGGGGGCAAGCGUUGUUCGGAAUUACUGGGCGUAAAGGGCUCGUAGGCGGCCAACUAAGUCAGACGUGAAAUCCCUCGGCUUAACCGGGGAACUGCGUCUGAUACUGGAUGGCUUGAGUUUGGGAGAGGGAUGCGGAAUUCCAGGUGUAGCGGUGAAAUGCGCAGAUAUCAGGAAGAACACCUAUGGCGAAGGCAGCUCUCUGGGACGGUACUGACGCUGAGGCGCGAAAGCCAGGGGAGCAAACGGG
rnacentral:rRNA from 1 species